UACGUAGGGGGCAAGCGUUGUCCGGAGUUACUGGGCGUAAAGGGUGCGUAGGCGGCUGCGCGCGUGGAGGGUGAAAUCUCUCGGCUUACCCGGGAGGGGGCUUUCCAGACGGCGUGGCUUGAGGGACGGAGAGGGGCGUGGAAUUCCGGGUGGAGCGGUGAAAUGCGUAGAUAUCAAGAGGAACACCUGAGGUGAAGACGGGUUGCUGGGCCGACACUGACGCUGAAGCGCGAAAGCCAGGGGAGCAAACGGG
rnacentral:rRNA from 1 species